GCUCAGAAUGAACGCUGGCGGCGUGCUUAACACAUGCAAGUCGAACGAGAAAUCUUUAGCUUGCUAGAGAAAGUAAAGUGGCGCACGGGUGAGUAACGCGUGGGUAAUCUGCCUCCGAAUCGGGGAUAACAUUGCGAAAGCGAUGCUAAUACCGGAUAAAAUCUGGUUGGCUUCGGUGAACCGGAUCAAAGGUGGUCUCUUUAUAAAAGCUACCGUUUGGAGAUGAGCUCGCGUACCAUUAGCUAGUUGGUGAGGUAAAGGCUCACCAAGGCGACGAUGGUUAGCUGGUCUGAGAGGAUGAUCAGCCACACCGGAACUGGAACACGGUCCGGACUCCUACGGGAGGCAGCAGUGAGGAAUUUUGCGCAAUGGGGGAAACCCUGACGCAGCAACGCCGCGUGAGUGAUGAAGGCUUUCGGGUCGUAAAGCUCUGUCAGGUGGGAAGAACCCACCAAGUGUUAAGACCACUUGGUGCUGACGGUACCACCGAAGGAAGCACCGGCUAACUCCGUGCCAGCAGCCGCGGUAAUACGGGGGGUGCGAGCGUUAUUCGGAAUCAUUGGGCGUAAAGGGCGCGCAGGCGGUUUUGUAAGUCAGAUGUGAAAUCCCGGGGCUUAACCACGGAAGUGCAUAUGAAACUAUGAGACUUGAGUGUGGGAGAGGGAAGCGGAAUUCCUGGUGUAGCGGUGAAAUGCGUAGAUAUCAGGAGGAACACCGGUGGCGAAGGCGGCUUCCUGGACCAAUACUGACGCUGAGGCGCGAAGGCGUGGGGAGCGAACCAGGAUUAGAUACCCUGGUAGUCCACGCAGUAAACGUUGAUCACUACGUGUAGCGGGUAUUGACCCCUGCUGUG
rnacentral:rRNA from 1 species